UCGUGCACGGACGAUCGUUUAUGAAGAAGGACGAAGUGGUUGUUGUAAAUCUCGUUAAUGCACGUAGUCAGUUAAGCACAUUUCUGUUCGCACAUCCUGUUCUUUGCGAUUUGAGCGUGGUGCACCAUAUGCCUGGUUUUUGUUCAACUUAUGGGACACCAGUAAAUCGUGGCUCGCGUUUGCUGUGAAGCGUCUACCUAGUUCAGAUCUCCGUAUGUCAUGCGUCCUGGCUCGUAGGGUCAUCAAGGCGCUCUUAUUGUAAUGUAUCGUUGCCCUUGUGUUUUUAACACUCUUAUGGGCUACGUUGACCACUGUAGACAUGUACAUGAAGCGAGCAGAAUACCGUGCUGUCAUGCAUUAUGUGUGUACACGGCGGCGAACUAUGCAACACUCAGAUGUCACAUUUUGGGACGUUACAAGAACACACCAGGACGGUCGCCUCGAAUCGAUUUGCUCUCCGAAACCACGAAAGAAUGUCACGUCAAUUCGUGCUCCUGUCUUGUCAACACAAAUAUAGAGGUACUGUCACAUAUGAAGCAGCACAUACGAGAGGGACAUGAUCAGAUAUCCUUAUGAACACUGCCAGAAGAAGUUCCGUGCCGUCUCCGCGUUUUGCGUACACCUUCUUAUGUUCUUCCUUUGAAACAAUAAAACGGUGAGUAUAAUUUCCUUUCUCAUUGCAGGGUUUUGAUGCCAGAGCUGACUGAUGGGUGCACAUGGUUCCUUGGUAUGUUCUUCCUUUGGAAAAAUAAACGUAUUUUGAUGCCAGAGCUGACUGAUGGGUGCACAUGGUUCCUUCGUAUGUUCUUCCUUUGAAAAAAUAAACGUAUUUUGAUGCCAGAGCUGACUGAUGGGUGCACAUGGUUCCUUCGUAUGUUCUUCCUUUGAAAAAAUAAACGUAUUUUGAUGCCAGAGCUGACUGAUGGGUGCACAUGGUUCUCUCGUAUGUUCUUCCUUUGAAAAAAUAAACGUAUUUUGAUGCCAGAGCUGACUGAUGGGUGCACAUGGUUCCUUGGUAUGUUCUUCCUUUGGAAAAAUAAACGUAUUUUGAUGCCAGAGCUGACUGAUGGGUGCACAUGGUUCCUUCGUAUGUUCUUCCUUUGAAAAAAUAAACGUAUUUUGAUGUCAGAGCUGACUGAUGGGUGCACAUGGUUCCUUCGUAUGUUCUUCCUUUGAAAAAAUAAACGUAUUUUGAUGCCAGAGCUGACUGAUGGGUGCACAUAGUUCCUUCGUAUGUUCUUCCUUUGAAAAAAUAAACGGUGAGUAUAACUGCAUGUCAAUUGCCCUGCUCCCUGUAAGAGUUUCCUUUCUCUUUGCAGUAUUUUGAUGCCAGAGCUGACUGAUGGGUGCACAUGGUUUUCUCGUAUGUUCUUCCUUUGAAAAAAUAAACGUAUUUUGAUGCCAGAGCUGACUGAUGGGUGCACAUGGUUCCUUCGUAUGUUCUUCCUUUGAAAAAAAAACAACGUAUUUUGAUGCCAGAGCUGACUGAUGGGUGCACAUGGUUCUCUCGUAUGUUCUUCCUUUGAAAAAAUAAACGUAUUUUGAUGCCAGAGCUGACUGAUGGGUGCACAUGGUUCCUUGGUAUGUUCUUCCUUUGGAAAAAUAAACGUAUUUUGAUGCCAGAGCUGACUGAUGGGUGCACAUGGUUCCUUCGUAUGUUCUUCCUUUGAAAAAAUAAACGUAUUUUGAUGUCAGAGCUGACUGAUGGGUGCACAUGGUUCCUUCGUAUGUUCUUCCUUUGAAAAAAUAAACGUAUUUUGAUGCCAGAGCUGACUGAUGGGUGCACAUGGUUCCUUCGUAUGUUCUUCCUUUGAAAAAAUAAACGGUGAGUAUAACUGCAUGUCAAUUGCCCUGCUCCCUGUAAGAGUUUCCUUUCUCUUUGCAGUAUUUUGAUGCCAGAGCUGACUGAUGGGUGCACAUGGUUCCUUCGUAUGUUCUUCCUUUGAAAAAAUAAACGGUGAGUAUAACUGCAUGUCAAUUGCCCUGCUCCCUGUAAGAGUUUCCUUUCUCUUUGCAGUAUUUUGAUGCCAGAGCUGACUGAUGGGUGCACAUGGUUCCUUCGUAUGUCCUUCCUUUGAAAAAAUAAACGUAUUUUGAUGCCAGAGCUGACUGAUGGGUGCACAUGGUUCCUUCGUAUUUUCUUCCUUUGAAAAAAUAAACGGUGAGUAUAACUGCAUGUCAAUUGCCCUGCUCCCUGUAAGAGUUUCCUUUCUCUUUGCAGUAUUUUGAUGCCAGAGCUGACUGAUGGGUGCACAUGGUUCCUUCGUAUGUUCUUCCUUUGAAAAAAUAAACGUAUUUUGAUGUCAGAGCUGACUGAUGGGUGCACAUGGUUCCUUCGUAUGUUCUUCCUUUGAAAAAAUAAACGUAUUUUGAUGCCAGAGCUGACUGAUGGGUGCACAUGGUUCCUUCGUAUGUUCUUCCUUUGAAAAAAUAAACGGUGAGUAUAACUGCAUGUCAAUUGCCCUGCUCCCUGUAAGAGUUUCCUUUCUCUUUGCAGUAUUUUGAUGCCAGAGCUGACUGAUGGGUGCACAUGGUUCCUUCGUAUGUUCUUCCUUUGAAAAAAUAAACGUAUUUUGAUGCCAAAGCUGACUGAUGGGUGCACAUGGUUCCUUCGUAUGUCCUUCCUUUGAAAAAAUAAACGUAUUUUGAUGCCAGAGCUGACUGAUGGGUGCACAUGGUUCCUUCGUAUUUUCUUCCUUUGAAAAAAUAAACGGGUUUUGAUGCCAGAGGUGACUGGCGCAUUUUCAUCACUAUGUACAUAGAAAAUAAAUCCCAAUGUGAC